AAGGAAAUGAUAAAUGAAUGUGUUAAAGGCAGCACUUUGGUGUUGGAAUAGGCCAGCAGUAACGGCCUGGAUGUUUCCUAUAUGCUGGGAUGGUAGUAAAGGUCAGGAGGGCAGUAUAGGCCAAGAUGGUAGUAUAGGCCAAGAUGACAGUAUAGGUCAGGAUGACAGUAUAGGCCUGGAUGACAGUAUAGGCCAGGAUGACAGUAUAGGCCUGGAUGUUUCCUAUAUGCUGGGAUGGUAGUAUUGGUCAGGAGGACAGUAUAGGCCAGGAGGGCAGUAUAGGCCGGGAUGGCAGUAUAGGCCGGGAUGGCAGUAUAGGCCAGGAGGGCAGUAUAGGCCGGGAUGGCAGUAUAGGUCAGGAGGGCAGUAUAGGCCAGGAGGGCAGUAUAGGCCGGGAUGGCAGUAUAGGUCAGGAGGGCAGUAUAGGCCGGGAUGGCAGUAUAGGUCAGGAGGGCAGUAUAGGCCGGGAUGGCAGUAUAGGCCAGGAUGACAGUAUAGGCCGGGAUGGCAGUAUAGGCCAGGAUGACAGUAUAGGCCAGGAUGGCAGUAUAGGCUAGGAUGGAAGCAUUUUGGAACAUUAUUAUGAUGUAAUAUAUAGGAAUACAGCACAAGAGUUCAAUAAAAACUUGUAAAGCAGAGUUCCUACAGAUUACUGGCCCUAAAUAAGAAUGCCAUACAGAAAAAAAGACAUUUUCCAUUAAUAUGUCAGAUAAUGUAUAAUGUCAUGCUUCUUGUAUGAUUUCAGCUUUGAUUAUUACACAUUGACUUGUGACUUGUCAGUUUGAGACUUAACAUGCAGUUUCCCAUGAACUGUCACAAUAUUUAAAUAAGGAGUCAUUCUUUUAAUCGGGAAUCUUCCUAAUAUUCCUGUCUCUAUGUCAUUAACUAUGUAAAUCAAUGAAUCAACUGAUCAAGGGCUUUCCACAGCAAGGAUUUGAGACAUUUAAAAACCGAUAGUAACUUCAGGGCUUUUCAAGGUCACAAAAAAAUCCAACAACUUUGCUGUGCAUCCUGUACAGCAUCAAAUUACAUCUACAGGAAGUAUGGCUGAGAUUCAUCAUAACUAUCAGUGUUUAUCAUAAAUUUUAUGAAAAUAUUUUGUAUAAUUUUGUAGAAAGUUUCACUCAAAUAAUAUUAUAUGCACAUUUGUGUCGUGAAGGUUCACACAUCUACGUGUUUAACUAAGUGGUGUGUAUUUAUUCUGUCAC